GACAAUUGGUCAGAGAACUAUAUAAAAACGAAUUGUAUUAUUAUAAGUGUAUAAGACGAAAAUAUAUGUACUUGCAUGUAUAUAUACAAUUUUCUCACGCUUUACACAAACAGAAAUGCAAUUUAUACAUUUCGCUUCUAUUUGUAUAAGUGAGAAAGACGAGGGUGGCGAGCGAGAUUUGGAAGAGUGGCUGAGCGAGAUCUAGAAGAAGGGAGAGAAGGGAACAAAAAUAUAUGUAUUUGAACAAGUUUCUCUGUUUUAUACAAUUAGAAACAAUUUUUAUACAUUUGUGUUUAUAUAAAAAGUGAGAAAGCGAGUAAGAGAUUGAAGGAGAGUGGCGAGCGAGAUAUUUAGAAAAGAGACGCCUGACAAUUUUUUACAAACUUUUGCUAGGAAACACAAUUAAAUUAAAUCUUAACUACUCUAUUUAUAUUAGAUUAUUAGUUUGUUAUUAUAUAUAAUUUUUCAAAUCAAAUAAAAACUUAUAUGUUACACACGACUCUUUAAUUAUGACUAAAUAGCGGGGGAAGUUUGAAAAGGUAUUUUCUUAAAAGUAAUUGGUAAGACUAAGCUGGGUGUAUAUAUAUAUAUAUGAGGAGAAGCCACCAGCUGUCCUCAUUGACCAUUUUCGCCUUGUUCCAUCUCUAUCUUUUCGCCCAACUGUUCAGUUGAUUAGGGUUUUUCUCUUUUGAUCCAUCAAAUCUUUUGGCGAACAGUUCAGAAUCCUACCGAUCAUGUCCUACGAGAAGCUCGACGGUUUGGCGAGGUGGUUUGGUACUAGUGUUGCAUCGGCGUUUUUCGCAUCCUUGGAACGAUGCUCGUGUGUGAAUCUCAACACUUCCGAAUCAGACGAUGAGGAAGAGGAAGAAGCUAAAGAGCGCCCUCUCAUGAUCUCCGCCCUCUCUUCUCACCUCGAUUCCUGCGCUGCCACCACUAAUCCUACCUCCGCUGAUAACCUCCCCGUUUGAUUAGAACUGGGAUCAUGCUGCAAAUUUGCUGAAGUGGUCCUUUGGCUCCAUCAGCAUGGGUUUCAUUCUUCUUCUCCAUCAACAGAGUGGAUUCACUCUGGUAUAAGUUGUAACGUUUUAGUAGACUUGUGAUAGGAUUGUAUAAAAGUGUGUUGUCUGUUAAAAGUGUCUUUGUAGUACAUUAAAUGCACUGGUAUGCAUUUUCCUUCUCCUUCACCUCAUCAUAUCGGAAGUUACGGUGACAGAAAUGCUAUUUAUAUUUCAAAAUAUCUACAGAUUAUAACUCGUGUUUAUGCA